CCCCUCCUACUCCUGUACAUCCUCUCCGAUAGCUGAUGGAUGAGAGUCAGAAAUCCCAACAUCUUGUAACAAAAAAAAAUUAUUAAUAAAUUUUAAUAUGAAAGUGUAUAUAUCAAUACAGAGAUAUAUAUUUCAAUAUAUUAUUUCAAUUCUUGAACAGAUUGUUCCUACACAUUUCAUUCGAUGAUAUAAAACUAUAGACACCCCCAGUCUAUC
rnacentral:lncRNA from 1 species